GGUGUUUCCCACUCAGUCAAUGAGAGAGAGGAGCUGUCAGACGGUCCGAGCGCAAAUCACGGGUCGUCUUGUGGAUGGGAGCACAUACUGUGAGGCUGCGAGGCUGUUUCCCUGAUCGUGUGCUUGCAGUAAAACCUCAUCUUGGCUAGGUAUUAUAGCUUGAUUAAGAAAACUCCGGAUUGGACGUUGGAACGCUGGAUACCUGGAUUCUUCUCUGGACAGAGAUGGCGAGCCAAGCCCGAACUGAACCAACCUUUUGACCGAAGAACAUCAGUCUUCUGUCACAACCUCCAGCCCAGUGGUAACAACACAGACUACCACAACACAGGAAAAGGAACUGAACUGACAUAAAUCACGACUAAACGGGACAAAACAAUACACUGAGCUCAGUAAAGACUUGUGGGAUUUUAUUUUAUUUUUGAGAAGCCGGCUUAUUGUAAAUGUUGUUAAUUAUAUAUAUUUUUAUGUUCUUAUUUUCCUAAAACAUAAUACUCAUUCUUGCUCAUUUCCUGCCUCCAGUCAUUUCAUUUCACUCAAACUUUAGUUUUCCCUGUACUCCUGCCGAACCUAGCAACCGGUCUAUAUACUUUUACCUUAUUAACGUCAGUCAGGGGUUACA